rnacentral:lncRNA from 1 species
GUAUCCAGUGGGUGGAAGGAGGCAGCACUGCCUGCGCCUCUGCAUGACUUCAAACAAGCAGUUUUCCUUUCUUAGAACACCUGGGAUGAGGAGGCGGACAACUCUAAAACCCCCAAAGCCAGUUUUGCGCAAUAUAAACAACCCCUCGAGUGGUCCUAUGUGACGUAAAACGAGCGCGACGGACUGGCCCUCCUGUUUCUCGCUCACACAGAGUCUUGUUGAAGUAAACCUCUGCGUGAAAAGGCUGCGGAUCAAGUGGGGAGAAAGAGCCGAGGAUGGAGAGUGGUACCGGAUCUAUAGACAAGCCCAAAUAUUGACGCAGGGGCCACUACAACUCACCUGUCCGUUUGGAUAGCUGGCCAUGGCGGUUAUGACGUCACACAACUGUGUGACCUGCAGCGGACCUCGGGCCUGGCCAGCUGUAGUUAUCUAAUGGGGAGACUUGGUCAGUUGUUUCUGUGGUGGCCAUAUUAUAACCUGGCAAGGCCAUAUUAUAACCUGACGCAUAUUAGUUACGUCACUGUCGUGAUCACUUUACUUCUAACGCCCAGGCGGUUGCCAUGGCUACUGAGAACUUAAGCCUUUCCUGGAAUGCAGGUGCCAUUUAGAACGUGGGUACUAAACAGACCCGUGGACAGUGGAGAAAAAUGACUUAGUUACCUAAACUCACGGUUCCAGUUGAAAUACUACUACCUUGUGAGUGGGGCAUCCUCAACACCACACCUAAGAUACCUUGUCUUUCAAGAGCAUCCUGGUCAUCAUAUCCUGGUACAUUAAUUAAAUAAUAAAAAGAAGAUAAAUGGUGACCUGGGACAUGAUGGUGCAAGCCUGUAGUCUCGAUAUGUGGGAGGCUGAAGCAGGAGGAUAGCUGCCUUAUAGCAAGAUCAUGUCUCCAAAAAAGUGGAUCG